rnacentral:rRNA from 1 species
UACGUAGGAGGCGAGCGUUGUCCGGAAUUACUGGGCGUAAAGAGCGCGUAGGCGGCACGGUACGACCGGUGUGAAAGCCCCCGGCUCAACUGGGGAGGGUCACCGGUAACGGCCGAGCUAUGAGUGCAGGAGAGGGAAGUGGAACUCCGGGAGUAGCGGUGAAAUGCGCAGAUAUCAGGAAGAACACCCGUGGCUAAGGCGGCUCUCUAGUACGGUACUGACGCUGAGACGCGAAAGCGUGGGGAGCGAACAGG